UUAUGAGAUAUCGAAUAGCGAUACCAAUGUUCUAUGCUGCUGUCAUUUCAGUCUGCAUAGUCAUUAUCAAAAUUGGUGUUGCCAUAUCAUUACUACUUUGGUUAAUUCAACGAUCCACUUCCAAGUUCUUUGGUGUCGAGCUGAGCAUGUGGUUAUCUUACAUCUUGGUAUGUCCAUAGGAUACGGUCAUCCUGAUACUCGAUGCGUUGUACCAUGACCGUGACUGUGCCAAGUUCUUCGUGCUUGAGACCAUAGCCAGGGUGCAGUAUCUCGGUGAGCGUCUUGUCUUAUUCACAGAAUAUGUGGUUUUGACAUGGUAGUGUAUCUGCUGUUUUGUUGACUGAUUGACAUGGUAGUUUGCUGAAUUUUGUCGUCUUCACCUAUUUUGAACAGCAUACAGAAGCAGCAGGAUCUUCCUUCAUAUCCUUUAUUGUAGAUCACAUAUUCCUUUGCAUUAAAGAUGCUGGUAAGGAGUAGCAACCAAUCAACUUUGAGUAUGCUAUUUGUAGACAUCUAUACUGACUUCUUCAUUAAACUUUUAUUUGCGUCGAUAGAGUUUCAGCUUGAACUUCUAAAGCAGUCACUGUUCUUCUCAUGGAAUUUGUUUUGCUUGUCAAUCUAUUGAGCGUUGUAUGCUUGGCUGAUUACAUCAUCAUUCAAGCUUUCUUGUGAGAGAUUUUUUUUUGUAUUGUAGUCACCUACUGACAUGAUGACAACUGUUUUCUGGUGGUUUCCAGGUGGUGCUGAAGUCGGCUAGGAGGGGCAGCACCGCGACGAUGAGGAAGCCGUCGGGGACAAGGCCCAGGGCGGCAAAGCGAGCCCAAGUAAGCUGCUGCCGGCCACCUUCCAGAAAAUUACAGUACCUAUAAAAGUUCAGAGAUGAGCUUAUCUCCUCACACAUAUCCUACUGGGAGCUUGCCUAUUGGAUAAGUGCCUAAAUCUUUGCCACCAUUUGAGCACCCAAGCCAUCAAUUUCUAGAGAAAAAAGAAUUCCAGCAACAAAGGUUCAUUUCUAAACAACUUGUGGUACAAUAAGUUCAAGAAUAAAUGCAUUGAUGAGUGUAAGUAGUUCAGAAUCGAUUUGAGUGAGGUGCAGCUUCCUCUCAUAUUCUCUUGUCGUGGCAACUUUAUAACUGUUUGUUGAAGAAAAGUAGUUUACAACUAAAGUAGUGUAUAAAGUCAGUCAAGUUUAACUAUUAUGAUCUACUAUAAUCAUUGCUCUUUAACUUCCAGCUACUGGAAUCUUAAAAGUGAGGUUGCUUUCCAACUACAAUUGUAUAAUUUGUAAGUAAUUAUCAUGUCUGAGAAGGGUGAUCAAUCCCUCCUUUUGGAGACAUUUGGAUUUUUUCCACUUUGUUCAUGGGGCUUCUCAGAUUUGCCACUUUGGAGAAUUGAUUCGCAUAAAUGCCACUUAAGUCGUGGAGUCCUUGAUUAGUAUGCCAUUAGCUCCACUUUUAUUCAUUUUAAUUAAUUUUUUCACAUUAUCGGGCUAGUCAAAGACUAACUUACCCCUGUGGCUAUCUACACGUACACACAUCUGGCAUCGAAUCAGCACCUGAACCAUCAAAGCGGGCGCUGCAUGCUGAUAAUAUCGCGUGUGCCAUACCGUCAGUUGACUGGAUGCCAUGCUUCGGCGGUUCUGACGCCGCCGAUCCCCUGGAUGCCUCUUGCCACCGGCUGGACGUCAUGCGCUGCCGAUUGCCUGCAGGCCACGCGCCGUGGAUCGUUCGGUACAGCGGCGGCGGCAUAAACACCACAAAGUCUGCCCCAGGCAGUCGUCCAGAGAACUCUUGCCGGCCGACGGCAGCUCCUCCACGACCACCUCCCUCUGCGUCCUCCCAUCCUCCCGUGACAUGCCCUACCUCCUCCUUAUGCCAAGUGACUGAACAACGACCAGGACGGGCGGCGUGAGUGGUGCCCACAGAUGGUGGUCUGGUGGAACGAGCAGUGUGCGGCUGAGUGGCACGAGCGGCGACUGGAGGCGUCAGCGGGGGCUCUGUCUGGCGACGAGAAAUUUUUGUGGCUCCUUUCACCCUGUCAAACUUAGAUCGAUAGCCAGAUACAAAUACUUAGCACGUGUACUUAGCAUCAGGGGUAGUUUGGUCUUUUCUAAUGCCUAUAAAUGAGGAAAGAAGAAAGAAAUCAAUAAAAGGAGGCAAAUGGCAUGACAAUCAAGGAGUCAAUGUCAUGAGUGGCAAUUUUACGAAGCCAAUCUUGAAAAUGGCAAUUUUGAGAAGCCCGAUAUUGAAAGUAGCAAAUAUGUGAUUUUCUCAUCCGUUUUGGCUACAUGAUGGUAUGAUCCUUUUUUAGUGGAUUUCUUACAUGCCGUCAUGACUUGUUUCACUCAGUUUUAUGUUGAGUGAUCGAGUGUGUAGUGUACUCAUGGUAUCCUGCAGUUUAUGUAAUCCUAUAAAGAUAGGAUUCAUAGUGUUUUUGGAAGGUUGGCUGGUCUUUGGGGUCCCUAAGAAAUGUGUUUGAACGCUGAUUGAUCGGGCGAUAGCGGCGAAGGAAAAAGCAAAAGCACUGCUGUAGUUAAACACUCGAGCUGCAGAUGCAUGUGAUACAUUAUACGGGGGAGGCGACGUUUUUAUGGCUUGGUUUGGUAGGAUUCAAAUGACACUUCUUAGGAAAGACUGCUCUGAUGUAAUUAAGUUUCACCUUCUUAAGUCUGGCUACAUUAAACCAUCAAACUAUAUAUAGAAAAUAAAUGUAUUCUUAUCAUGUAUCCCCUGGAAUCCACAUAACAAGAACAGGAUAUUAAUUGGAUGCUAUGCACUGGACAUUGCGGCACGAUGAUUGGUUCCUUGAUGAAGAUACAAAGGUAUUCCGUUUCUUCAGGUAUUACACAUUUAUGUGGAUCCAGUUUGUUGUAUUUGGAUAUCUCAUCAUGUCCAUUUUUCAUUGUUGUAAUUUCUCCGUUCUAUAAUGUACUACGCAUGUCCUGUCUGUUUGUAAUGCGCUGGCCCAUAUUCUUGCCAUCUAUUCUUAAUCAUCUCCAAGCAGUUGUGUUUAGAAUGGCAUUCUUAUUUUCUGUAAGCAUUUAAUUCAUAGAGAAUUGAAAUCACCUGGUUUGCUUUAGCAUUUAAAAGAGGCAAAGAUAACAUACUGCCUAUGUGGGGAAAAGAUUGGUAUGUUGGUAUUAGCUUUAAAUGUGAUCACUGAUGCUUAUUGGCUGUAGUUGUGGUUUCAGAAGUAGCAUGCUAACAGUCAUCAUAUAUUGGCUAAUUCUGAUGAAGACCAAAAGAAUUCCAAUGAGAGGCAUCAUGCUGAUUCUGAUGUGGAAAUGGAUGAUGCCAAGCCUCCAGAGGACUCUCAAAGGUGUUCUUUUUAUUUGGUUCCUUAGUCGUGGCCUCAUGACGUCUCUUUCAUCAGUCAAACUAAAGCACUUUUUGUCAGCUUGUCUUCGCUUUUUUUCUUCUCAGCCGAUUAUGCUCCAUGGUUGAGUCGUCAUAUCCUUAAUAGAUGUACCACUGCC
rnacentral:rRNA from 1 species